GUUCAAAGAGGAUUUCUCUUUAGAGUCGGGUUGCUUGAGAGUGCAGCCCUAAGUGGGUGGUAAACUCCAUCUAAGGCUAAAUAUUACCACGAGACCGAUAGCGAACAAGUACCGUGAGGGAAAGUUGAAAAGAACUUUGAAGAGAGAGUUCAAUAGUACGUGAAACCGUUCAGGGGUAAACCUGAGAAACCCGAAUAGAUGAACGAGAAGAUUCAGCGUAUCUCAUCUUCGGUCAUAAAAGGUUUGUGUGACAAAAUUUUGACUUGUCAUAAUUUUGCACCGGCCAUUUAUGAAUAUCGUUGAUGAAUGCGUGCACUUCUUCUCUAGUAAAACGUCGCGAUCCGUUGGAUGUUGAUUUAAGGUUUCCAAUGUAGUCUGUUCAGUAUGCAUGCUUCUAGUAUGUUUAUUGUUCAAACUUGGAAUAUCUGAUCAAUUAUUCCGACGGUAUUAAUAAAAUAUAAUGUCGCUUAUAAAGCGUUUAAUUUUGUAACAAGCAUAUUCGUGUGAUUAGUAAUCGGAUUUAAUGCCGAUGCUAGUCCCGAAUUGUUUGCUGCAAAAAUAAUAAACAGACAUAAAAUAAAAAUCAGCGACGCUAUUGUUUUGGGUAAUUUCAGGACC
rnacentral:rRNA from 1 species